ensembl:lncRNA
UGUGUUCAAUCUUUUCUACUUAUAUUAUAAACCUGACCUUUUUAGAGAGAGAGAGAGAGAGAGAGAGAGAGAGAGAGAGAGAGAGAGAGAGAGAGAGAGAGAGAGAGAGAGAGAGAGACUCAUUCACCGCGUCUCUCCCCUCUGAUCGUGAAUACGAGUUUCUAGUUGUUACGUUAAUCUCACCCCACCCUGGAACGCUUAUUUUGUUGCGUCUACAGACUAGACCCCUCGGUCAUCCGUCGACGGACGGAGGUAGUGUGAAUGCGCCCUGGCCUGAAUACGCGCGGACCAUGGACCUCUAAAGACCGUUUGGAAUGCGCCCGGACCGUUUUGAGUACACCAUCCGGGUCCUUUCAGUGCACUGCUUUCCCCCCGAUCGUAAUUGGAACGCCCUAAUCAAACUAAGUAUACUCCUUUAUAGUCAACCCCCACCACACGUUAUCGUCGUCAUUUUGAAUACCCAAAGGCACUUUUAAGAGCCACGUCCAUCUGUCUGCCUUUCUGUCUGGCUGUCUGUCUAUCUAUCUGCCUGUUUGGCUGUCUAACUGUCUGUCUGUCUGUCUGUCUGUCUGUCUGUCUGUCUGUCUGUCUGUCUGUCUGUCUGUCUGUCAGUCUGUUUGUGUUGCAAUGGCCAUGAGACAUACCAUUGACCGCCAGCAUCCCAGCUACAAAGAGGGGAAACGUAAAUUGCUUGAAAGUAAACAAGACCACCUUAUAGCUGAAGCUGAGAGAGCCGUUGAGGAGAGGAAACGUGCGCGUUCUGGUGGAGGACCUCCAUGUGGCUCCACUAGUGACGGUGCAAGACGAGGCAAGCCGAGGGGAGGCGUGGAGGGCGACGGAGAGGGCGACGCAAAGCCUCAGCCACAGGACGUUAUGACUUGCAUCAGCCACUGUAUGUAUGUCAGACGUGCCAGCAGCAGAGGACCCCUGACAUGAAGCACUUCCUUCAGAGUGGAUAUUGGCCAGCCUCUCUCAAUACUUCCACGUUGUACACGUUGGACCUCUUGAGCUCCUUUCAGGAACUGAAAGUAAUCUCUCCGGGAUUCUCCAGACAGGCCUUCGCAAAGCUCCUGGAGCAUCGCACCAAGUGUGGAGGACGAUCUGGACAUAUCAAAGGUGACACCCUGCAGCGCAGCUUCUUGGAGUUUUCAUAUGCUUCGUUUGAGAAGGACCAACUCUGCUGUGGUGCUGUUUUCACCUGCCCAGCCUGCACACCAGAAAUGUUGGCUGUUUCAGUAGAUGGAAACAGAAAGUUAUAUCGCUUUCGCCGAAAUGGAAGGUGCUCUUUGUUCCAGUGUUAUUAUUGAUUGAUUGAUUGAUUGAUUUAGUUACAUAUUUAAUACAUUUCAUUUCUAUUUGUCUUCCACAGUUCUGGUGACCAUGCCUUUUUUGAAGGUUUAUUUGUGGCUGAAGACAGUGCAGUGUCUGGAUUUGUGGACAUGAUCCAGAAAGCUGUGAAAAAGACACAGGGAAGAGGCACGUGUGGGGACUCCCAAUGGACAGCAGCACGGAGACAUCAAGAAGGGCAUCCAAAUUGGAUGAAGAGGGCAUGGAGGUUGCUGUGUGUCGCCAUGGUUUCCUUCUUAAAGCCCUUAAUAUGUACAGGGGAGAAAUAUUUGCCUACCCCAUGUACCUUCAAAAGGAGCUGAUGCCAGCCAAGGCACAAUUCUUUGCCAUGGAUGUGGCUUGCAAAUACUGGCCAUACCUGGAGAAAGUUGCCAGUGUCCUUCCUGCUCUCCAGGAGCUGACCACCAUGAAACCUUUCCUCAGCGUCAUGCAUGCUCGAGCUCAUGCUACCAAGUGUGAGAUUAAAUGGAGUGGUAGGAACCAGGAAGGAGCAGGGACAACCGCCGGUGAAGAGGUGGAACAAGUUAACAGCUACCUCUCUCGUUGUGCCCUUACGACAAAAUAUAUGUCGAAAGCAGACUUGUCAGAGGCUCCUGGAUGAGACUGCAAUGCUAGCAGAGCUAAAAACCCAGCUACAUCUCUCAGAUGAAAUGGUGUCACAGUGGAUCUCAGAUGUGAUGGAAUGGGCAGCUGGUGAGACACGAGAUGCAUCUGACAACCUGCAAGGCACCACACACACAGGGCUUCAGCGGUCCAUUGAGGGGCUCUACCUCAGUGUGAGGCAGCGGAAGCUAAAUCUGUACCGUCAGAAUGACAGCAACAAGCUUCGCCACCGGCUUCGGAGGAAGCUGGCAGAAGAGAAAAAGCUCCUUUUUCAGGAGAUACAAAAGCACAACAAGCUUGACUCUGCAGCCAACAUCGAUGCAGCUGUGGUGGAGCACUCCCUGAGUGGAGAGAGCACUGUGUCCCCAAUAUGGCCUUGGGAGGUUCAUGACAGCGCAAACAUUGGAACCAAGAAACGGCUUCAUGACCAAGUCAUGACAACAAAGCGACUGCAGGAGGAAAAAACAUUCUGGUGAUGGAGAUGGCACAACACUGCACAUGGUUGCAGAACCUGGCAUUGGUUCUCAAAAACAAGGUGGCUGAGUCGGGUGGAGAGUCUGGAGACAAAGGAGCUGAAGGACUUUGCAGUCUCUUGAGGAGAAGAAACACAGAGGUGUCAGAGGGGUUGCAAGUGGUCCUGCAAAAAUACAAGACUGCUUUAGGUCCUGAGGCCUCUGUCAUUCAAAAUAUUGAAGAGGAAGACCAAAGUGUCCACAGCAGUCCAGACACCAGUGAGGAUGAAGAGGAAAGCAUAAUUUAG